AACGUAGGGGACAAGCGUUAUCCGGAUUUACUGGGCGUAAAGCGCCCGUAGGCGGCUUGAUAAGUUGGACGUGAAAGCUCCCGGCUUAACUGGGAGAGGCCGUUCAAAACUAUCGAGCUAGAGUGAGGCAGAGGAGCGCGGAAUUCCCGGUGUAGUGGUGGAAUGCGUAGAUAUCGGGAGGAACACCAGUGGCGAAAGCGGCGCUCUGGGCCUAAACUGACGCUGAGGGGCGAAAAGCGUGGGGAGCGAACGGG
rnacentral:rRNA from 1 species